CAAGAGUCAUUAUGCCAUUUGGGCAGCUCAAACUUUUAUGAGCCCCUUAGCUUCAAAGGAUCAGUGGAGGUAUUGAUUAGCCUCUGCGCAUCGAUGGAGGUAAUGAUGUUACCGCCAGAAGGUCUUGUUCCUUAUUGCUUGUUUUUACCAUAUUUUACCAUGUAUUCUUAACUAUUGCAAGAUAGGAAUAAAAUAAUUGGCAUCAGCUCUGCUUCUUGUUGACAUAUAAGAUCAUAUAACCCAAGAGUAGCCAUGAGCAAUAUUCAUUGUGGUUGCUAAUCCUUCCUACAAAAGUCAUGAUUGAAGAUAUUACAAUAAGCACAGUAGAAUCCCAAAGAAACAGAAAGACAAUGUCUUCUAUGUUUGUUCUGUUGUUGUUUUUUGUUUCCUGCAACUCAUUCUAUACAGGUUGAAUCUGAUUCCAAAGUACAUCAAAUUCCGAUUUGCCUCCAUACUUAUGACCUCAAAGAAAUAUUCCAAAUACAGAGCUAUGUUAUGGAGAUACAAGUUAAUGCAUUGUAUUUUCUUGCAAUUCACUGCAGAUACUUCCAAGCUGCUUAGGACUCUGUGACUAAAGCCACCUCUGCCCAUGGUUUCAAUCAGAGCUGUGAAGGUUCAUGCAGAAAACACGCCUGUUUGUCUCUUUCUUAGGAGAAGGAUUCCACAGCUGCAAGGUCAAAUGUGAUCACUGAAGGUUGCCAUGUGGUUUCCCAGCCCAGGUUCUGACCUUGAAGCUUGUCCCUGCUCAGACAAGAAUUUGGACUUUAGACAAGCAUAUAAAUGAACAUAUCUAUUAUCCAUGUGGUUUGGCACAAUCCUAACGCAUUGUCUUGAUGAAGAACACCCCCACGGGACUGCUUUGUCAACAAAUGGGGCAGCAAGCCAUCCAUCUACCUUUCUGAACAACUGAAUUGUUGCAUGCUAUCCCAUAGAGGUACAGAUGGUAACAGAUAGGCCACAGAAGCUUUAGCAGUUACGAUAACUUACAAUCAAGUGUCUCUGGAAUCAACUUCCUUCUCAUAAGAAUGUAAAUUGGACCUUUUCCAGGUAAAAUCCCUACGGAUGCUAUACUUCAGGAAUCUGGUGACCUGAUAUGCACAGGAUAUUAUCAUAAAAGAUGGCAAAUAGUUUUAAAACCCCACAUUAUUAAAAUUAUGAAGGCUGCAUCCUACCUUUGUGAAAAAGAAGAAGAUUUUGUGAGCUGAUCAACUCUGAGCUCUGUGCUGAUUCUGUUGGGCCAUGAGCAGACAUGGGUGUCCACCGCAUGAAGCCCAAGGCUCCCCUGAUAUGUCAUUUGGAGGAAUUCAG